rnacentral:rRNA from 1 species
GUGCCAGCAGCCGCGGUAAUACGGAGGGCGCAAGCGUUGUUCGGAAUCACUGGGCGUAAAGCGCGUGUAGGCGGCUUGGUAAGUCGGGUGUGAAAGCCCGGGGCCUAACCCCGGAACUGCACUCGAAACUGCCUCGCUAGAGUCUCGGAGAGGGUGGUGGAAUUCCCGGUGUAGAGGUGAAAUUCGUAGAUAUCGGGAGGAACACCAGCGGCGAAGGCGGCCACCUGGACGAUGACUGACGCUGAGACGCGAAAGCGUGGGGAGCAAACAGGAUUAGAUACCCCGGUAGUCC